UACGGAGGAUGCAAGCGUUAUCCGGAAUGAUUGGGCGUAAAGCGUCCGCAGGUGGCGGUGUAAGUCUGCUGUUAAAGAGUGAGGCUCAACCUCAUAAAAGCAGUGGAAACUACACAGCUAGAGUACAGAAGGGGCAACUGGAAUUCUCGGUGUAGCGGUGAAAUGCGUAGAUAUCGAGAGGAACACCUGCGGCGAAGGCGGGUUGCUGGCUGACACUGACGCUGAGGCGCGAAAGCCAGGGAGCGAACGGG
rnacentral:rRNA from 1 species